rnacentral:rRNA from 1 species
AGAGUUUGAUCAUGGCUCAGGAUGAACGCUAGCGAUAGGCCUAACACAUGCAAGUCGAGGGGCAGCACAUGAAGUAGCAAUACGGAUGGUGGCGACCGGCGCACGGGUGAGUAACGCGUAUGCAACCUACCUACAACAGGGGGAUAACCCGUUGAAAGACGGACUAAUACCCCAUAAUACAGGGGUCCCGCAUGGGGAUAUUUGUUAAAGAUUAAUCGGUUGUAGAUGGGCAUGCGUUCCAUUAGCUGGUUGGUGAGGUAACGGCUCACCAAGGCAACGAUGGAUAGGGGAACUGAGAGGUUUAUCCCCCACACUGGUACUGAGACACGGACCAGACUCCUACGGGAGGCAGCAGUGAGGAAUAUUGGUCAAUGGACGCAAGUCUGAACCAGCCACGUCGCGUGAAGGAAGACGGCCCUACGGGUUGUAAACUUCUUUUGUAAGGGAAUAAAGUGAGUCACGUGUGACUUUUUGCAUGUACCUUACGAAUAAGGAUCGGCUAACUCCGUGCCAGCAGCCGCGGUAAUACGGAGGAUCCGAGCGUUAUCCGGAUUUAUUGGGUUUAAAGGGUGCGCAGGCGGGAGAUUAAGUCGGCGGUGAAAUUUUGCAGCUCAACUGUAAAAGUGCCAUCGAUACUGGUUUUCUUGAGUGUGGAUGAAGUAGGCGGAAUUUGUGGUGUAGCGGUGAAAUGCAUAGAUAUCACAAGGAACACCGAUUGCGCAGGCAGCUUACUAAACCAUAACUGACGCUCAGGCACGAAGGCGUGGGGAGCAAACAGGAUUAGAUACCCUGGUAGUCCACGCAGUAAACGAUGAUUACUAGCUGUUUGCGAUACAAUGUAAGCGGCUGAGCGAAAGCGUUAAGUAAUCCACCUGGGGAGUACGUUCGCAAGAAUGAAACUCAAAUGAAUUGACGG